GAUGAACGCUGGCGGCGUGCCUAAUACAUGCAAGUCGAGCGAACAGACGAGGAGCUUGCUCCUCUGACGUUAGCGGCGGACGGGUGAGUAACACGUGGAUAACCUACCUAUAAGACUGGGAUAACUUCGGGAAACCGGAGCUAAUACCGGAUAAUAUAUUGAACCGCAUGGUUCAAUAGUGAAAGACGGUUUUGCUGUCACUUAUAGAUGGAUCCGCGCCGCAUUAGCUAGUUGGUAAGGUAACGGCUUACCAAGGCAACGAUGCGUAGCCGACCUGAGAGGGUGAUCGGCCACACUGGACCUGCAACACGGUCCAGAAUCCUACGGGCGGCAGCAGUAGGGAAUCUUCAGCAAUGGGCAGAAGCCUGACGGAGCAACGCCCCGUGAGUGAUGAAGGUCUCCGGAUCAUAAAACUCUGUUAUUAGGGAAGAACAAAUGUGUAAGUAACUAUGCACGUCUUGACGGUACCUAAUCAGAAAGCCACGGCUAACUACGUG
rnacentral:rRNA from 1 species